rnacentral:rRNA from 1 species
AUUGAACGCUGGCGGCAGGCCUAACACAUGCAAGUCGAACGAGUGGCGGACGGGUGAGUAAUGUCUGGGAAACUGCCUGAUGGAGGGGGAUAACUACUGGAAACGGUAGCUAAUACCGCAUACCAUCAGAUGUGCCCAGAUGGGCUUAGCUAGUUGGUGGGGUAACGGCUCACCAAGGCGACGAUCCCUAGCUUGUCUGAGAGGAUGACCAGCCAUACGGUAACUGAGACACGGUCCAGACUCCUACGGGAGGCAGCAGUUGGGAAUAUUGCACAAUGGGCGCAAGUCUGAUGCAGCCAUGCCGCGUGUGUGAAGAAGGCCUUCGGGUUGUAAAGUACUUUCAGCGGGGAGGCGUUACCCGCAGAAGAAGCACCGGCUAACUCCGUGCCAGCAGCCGCGGUAAUAC